rnacentral:tmRNA from 1 species
GGGGAUGACUGGCUUCGACGGAAGAGGCUGGUUCCAGGCUGCAAGCCGGGCGGCGCCGAAACCCGUAAACUCAGCGCAAACCACAAGUGCCAACCGCACUGCCUAUGCGGCUCUGCCGCUCGCGGCCUAACCCCGCCGAGCGCAUAGCCCAGGCCGCCCGCUGACGGCGGCCCGUUGACCGCGAGCCCCUCCGGCGGCGCGCGUCUCAGCGAGACAAAGGACGGAGUGCCGCCCGGUAUGCUGCUGGCCGGGCGAAAGACCCCAUGCAGCUGGUCGGCCCAGUGACCCGGCCCCGCGGGGCCUGGGCCGGUGACGCCAAAAUAGCGCGGCUAAGCUUGUAGACGCCUGUCGCCGAAUCUUUCGGACCCGGGUUCAAUUCCCGGCAUCUCCACUG